rnacentral:lncRNA from 1 species
UUUUUCAAUUAGAUUUUCUCCAAGGUAUCCAUAAAAUAAAAAAAAUGUAAUAAAUGUGCCCAAAGAAGCAUGGUUCUAGUGUGUGUGCGUGCUAAGAAGUGCUAAGGAAGAUAUCCAGCUUACUCAUGCACUUCCUCCUGGCUUGAGAGCUAGAGUCAGCUGAAAUGCCUGCUGUUUUCACCUUUUCAUGCUUUGUUGCUUGGCCUAAGGGCUUCGCACUCUGCUAACCCUCUUGGAGAGAGAUGUGACUAUAGAAAGGGUUGAUUUGAUGAAGCACCAAAUAAAAAAAGAAAGUGAAAAUGAAAUGUCAGGUUUAGUUUCUGUACUUGGGCAUUUGCGGGUCCUAGCAUGUAGGCCAUGAUGUAGGGACUAGAAAGAAGGCUUCAGCAUCCUGGCCAUCUUUCUCCCCUGCCUUCUGGCUCCCUGAAAAUCCAUCCAGUAAGGUCACGCUGCAGCUGUGCACUUAGGGGGGAGUCAGCCUUGCAGCCUGAAGCAGUGCUGUUUGCUCCCAUCAGCCAAGAUGCAGAAGGAUUUUUAUGCAAUUGAAAUUUGGCUUUGCCAACUUCAUACCACUCCUACAGAUCACUCUUCCUCCAAACCCAACACCACACACACCAGAAUCUAACAGAGUGAGAAGAUUAAAUCUCCAUGAAGGCCAAGUGGAGGGCAGCAAGUGGAGAAGCUAGUAGAUAGAAAACAGAGAUCGGCUGGCUUUGAUCCUGGAGCCUCCCCUUGCUGUACUGAGAGAUGACCUUUCUUUCAGGUCUGACAGGGUGAAUCUUCAUUAGUUAGUCUUGUACAUUGAAUUGACCUAAUGAAGGAUGGGGGCUAAGCCACUACCUCUUUGGGGUAAGUCUGGAUCAACUUUAUAGAGAAGGUGGGGCAAAGAGCAACACACAAGGAAAUCAGAUAAUCUUGAUCCUCAAGUACAGGAUGAACACAGAUCAGAUCACACCCAAAGACUCUCAGGAAACCACCAAGAAAUGAGCACUGGGAACUGAGAACAUGGUGUCUCUAUGAGAUUAAAGACAGGCAAGCACUUCUUAGAGCCAAAUGCAGGGAGGUUAAGAUGUAGAACGAACCUAUCUUCACCCAGAGAUGCUUGUUGUCUUCCUGCCAUGACCAUUCCUCACAUGGAGGUCACAGAGAGGAGUGGGUGGAAAGGGCAUCAAAGUUUCUACUCUGCUUCUGUGGUUUAGUCUUGAGCAGCCCCAUUCUUUGCCAGCACUUGAUGACGUACUGGUGGUUUACCUUCUUGGAAGACUUAGAUUAUGACACAUGAAGGGAACACCUAUAGCUUUCACUUUUUGGUCUUAGGUAUGUUUGUUAUAGAGAGUUGGAAGAGAUCAAGACUCUGUUGCAGUGUGACAGAGAGAGUGGGCUAUUUCUUGUAAGUGUGAUGUUUCCGGGAGCGCCCUGGCUCUCGGUUCCUUAGUGUUUUUGAUUUUGUACCAAUACAGAAUGAAGGUUCCAAUGAUCUCAAAGGAUUUCUCCCCACAGAACCCUGAACAGUGGGAGAGGACAUCCCAAAGCCAAGACUGCUACCUGCCUUAAUUGCUCCAGGUACAGGGAUACUCUGAGCAAAGGGGACCAGGGAGGGGGCCCCAGACAUGAUCUUUCUUGCAGGAAUGCCAGCCAAAGGUGUGAUCUGGUUAGGAGGGCCCUGCAUACUCUGGUUCCAGCAUUGCACAAAGGGAGCUAGGGUGCUUGGGGUCAUACUCUGUCUUGUGCCAGAAGUGCUCCUUUUGGGGGCAGCCACAAUGACCUCAGGCUCCCCACAAUCCAUAGGCAUCACUAAUCCUCCAAAAGCAAAAGGUCUUGGGGCUGUGCUGCCAAAAACUGAACUGUAGGUCACACUCUGGUGGUUCUGCCUGAUAACCCUAAGGGCAGUUGAACUAGCUUUGCCGAAUGGAAACCCAGCCAGAGUGCUGCCAAAGCCUGUCUGACUGGUGGCAGGAGUGUGAAUAAUGGGAGCUGACGAUGUCAACUGCCCACAAGCUGGCUGUGUGGUCUUGCUAAGGACCAGUUGAGCAGAUGGGGUUGGAGACACACCUGAGUUCUCUGAAAGGAAAGAGGUACUGAAGCUUUGGGCAGGAGCUAGCUGGAGAGAAGAUUGCUUUAGCCCAUCUAUGGCCCCAGGUGAGCUUUGAGAAGUAUUUCUUUGGGAUGGUGGCAAAAGUGGCUUUGGGCUUGACCCCAAAGAUGAUGUGAGUGCUGAAGUCACAUUGGAGUUGCUUGAGGUCACUGGAGGCUGGUUUGUGGACGAUAAGCCCAAAGUUGCCAGAGGGUUGCUCACCCCCUUCAGUGUAUCAGUGCUUCUAAGAGGGGAUAUCUUGAUGGCACUAGUAAGAACCUGGCUAAAGAUAGUGACCGUGUGUACAGUGGGAAUUGUGGGGUGUUGGGAAGGGAAAAUUAAAUCAGUGGCCGAGGGAAAGUUCUGGGAAGCUCCAAGCAGGAAAGUGCUGCAAGAAGGGACAGAGCAAGAGUUGCCUGUGGUGCUGGUCACUAUGUUCAAAUCCACACCAGGGUCUUUGGAUUUGCUGGCUGGAAUGACAGACGUAACCACACAGGGGGCUGUGGUGGCUAGGCUGUGGAAAAGAUGGGUAGAAUCAGAACUCAGUGAAGAAGAGGGCUGCCUGGUGUGCACAGGAGCUGUCUCAGACAUAGUUUGAAGCGGUUCUAUACUGCCAAAGAUAGGCUUGAAGGUGGGCCUUAAGAUACCUGGAGUUGUAGAGGGAGAAGAGCUUGAAGAGGCCUCAGCCAUGACAGAAAUUCUGGAGUAUGAGGCAGUUCUAACCUCAGUACUGUGAACAGGCCCCCAAAUAGGUCUUAAUGCUAAGUGAGAAGACGUCUCCACGGGAAGUACAGAUGCAGGAAGAUGGAGAAUUGGGUUACUCACCACCCCAACCAAAGUGCUUUGUGUGGUGGGUGCUGUGGGGUUAAUGACAGAUGAGUGUGGGGGCACAGCAGACCUGUGAGCCCGAGGGAUUGAAGAUAGCCAGGUGGAAUCAGUGACUGGUGUUGUGGGAGAGCUUGGAGACGCCUGGGUGGAAGCAAUUGAGGGAUUUGAGUCUGAAGAGAUGCCUUGGAUGUGCUCUAACUGUGAGCACCCGAGUGGGGCAGGCAUAUUCUUCAAGCUUUCCAGCUGAGGGUUCACGUGGGUGCUAAGAACUCUCUCAGAAGACGACCGACUGAGAGACAAGGUAGGCUGAAUUCCAGCCCUCAUCUCUGGAAUGGAGUCUCCGGCUGUCCCGGUUGUAGCUUCUGUGGUUUGGUUGCUCGGCACAGCUUGCCCCUCUAAUGUUGGGUCCUCUUCAGUGACAACAGGACCUUGCUGGCAAGGUAUAGUUAGCAGGUCCCUAGGGCCAGACUGCAGUAGAGGAAUCUCUCCAUUUAGCUGUCCAGAGCUGCUGGGUGUGACUGAGAGGUGAGAAUUAGGACUCUCUCCUGCUUUUUUCAAUGGCCAUUCUGGAGUCUGGACUAAUGUCCUGAGAAAAUGUCUCUUCCAAGAUCCUGAGAGCUCUCUAGAAGAACUGUAAGAACUGGUAAUAGCAUUUCUUUUUGUGCUGGGGGGGCCUUGGGUAUGUAUGCUGGCCACAAGGGCCCCAGAGAAGCAACCGGAUCUCUUACAUUUAUCAUCUGAGCUCUGGACAUGGGGUCUCCUUUUCAGAGACCCAGGCCUGGCCACAAACGAAACAGUGGCCCCACUUUUCAACAGGGGCUUAAAGGCGGACCAUACGGAGGCCGAAUGCCUUUGGCUGUCGGAGGUGUCCGGGAACAGUGGCUCUUCCCACCUGGCUCUGCCCUUCCUGCACUGGAGGAGGGCCCUCAGCACCGGGUCCUUUCCACAGGGCCCUGGUGGCUCCUCUGAAGGUCCCGCGGAGUUCACCACUCUUGAGACCGGGAACAAGGGCCGUGGUCUCCGCUCAGGAGGCGAGAUCUUGACUGUCACCGGACUCCAUGUGGCCCGAGGGUGACGAAGGGACCAAAUAUUACGCUUCAGGAAUGAUUGCUGGUUGCUUAAGACUGGGGCAGAAGGAAGAAUAAAGG